UACGUAGGGUGCAAGCGUUAAUCGGAAUUACUGGGCGUAAAGCGUGCGCAGGUGGUUGUGCAAGACAGAUGUGAAAUCCCCGGGCUUAACCUGGGAAUUGCAUUUGCGACUGCACGGCUAGAGUGUGGUAGAGGGGGAUGGAAUUCCGCGUGUAGCAGUGAAAUGCGUAGAUAUGCGGAGGAACACCGAUGGCGAAGGCAGUCCCCUGGGCCUGCACUGACACUCAUGCACGAAAGCGUGGGGAGCAAACAGG
rnacentral:rRNA from 1 species